GGCCGCGGGAAUUCGAUUGAGUUUGAUCCUGGCUCAGGACGAACGCUGGCGGCGUGCCUAAUACAUGCAAGUCGAGCGAGCUUGCCUAGAUGAUUUUAGUGCUUGCGCUAAAUGAAACUAGAUACAAGCGAGCGGCGGACGGGUGAGUAACACGUGGGUAACCUGCCCAAGAGACUGGGAUAACACCUGGAAACAGAUGCUAAUACCGGAUAACAACACUAGACGCAUGUCUAGAGUUUGAAAGAUGGUUCUGCUAUCACUCUUGGAUGGACCUGCGGUGCAUUAGCUAGUUGGUAAGGUAACGGCUUACCAAGGCAAUGAUGCAUAGCCGAGUUGAGAGACUGAUCGGCCACAUUGGGACUGAGACACGGCCCAAACUCCUACGGGAGGCAGCAGUAGGGAAUCUUCCACAAUGGACGAAAGUCUGAUGGAGCAACACCGCGUGAGUGAGGAAGGGUUUCGGCUCGUAAAGCUCUGUUGGUAGUGAAGAAAGAUAGAGGUAGUAACUGGCCUUUAUUUGACGGUAAUUACUUAGAAAGUCACGGCUAACUACGUGCCAGCAGCCGCGGUAAUACGUAGGUGGCAAGCGUUGUCCGGAUUUAUUGGGCGUAAAGCGAGUGCAGGCGGUUCAAUAAGUCUGAUGUGAAAGCCUUCGGCUCAACCGGAGAAUUGCAUCAGAAACUGUUGAACUUGAGUGCAGAAGAGGAGAGUGGAACUCCAUGUGUAGCGGUGGAAUGCGUAGAUAUAUGGAAGAACACCAGUGGCGAAGGCGGCUCUCUGGUCUGCAACUGACGCUGAGGCUCGAAAGCAUGGGUAG
rnacentral:rRNA from 1 species